CCUACGGGGGGCAGCAGUGGGGAAUAUUGCACAAUGGGGGAAACCCUGAUGCAGCGACGCCGCGUGAGUGAAGAAGUAUUUCGGUAUGUAAAGCUCUAUCAGCAGGGAAGAAAAUGACGGUACCUGAUUAAGAAGCCCCGGCUAACUACGUGCCAGCAGCCGCGGGAAUACGUAGGGGGCAAGCGUUAUCCGGAUUUACUGGGUGUAAAGGGAGCGUAGGGGGCAGCGCAAGUCUGAAGUGAAAUGCCGGGGCUUAACCCCGGAACUGCCUUGGAAACUGUGCAGCUAGAGUGCAGGAGAGGUAAGUGGAAUGCCUAGUGUAGCGGUGAAAUGCGUAGAUAUUAGGAGGAACUCCAGUGGCGAAGGCGGCUUACUGGACUGUAACUGACGUUGAGGCUCGAAAGCGUGGGGAGCAAACAGGAUUAGAUACCCUUGUAGUC
rnacentral:rRNA from 1 species